rnacentral:rRNA from 1 species
UACGUAGGUGGCGAGCGUUGUCCGGAUUUACUGGGCGUAAAGAGCGCGCAGGCGGUCGUACAAGUCGCGUGUGAAAGCCCCCGGCUCAACUGGGGAGGGUCACGCGAUACUGUUCGACUCGAAGGCAGGAGAGGGAAGUGGAAUUCCCGGUGUAGUGGUGAAAUGCGUAGAUAUCAGGAGGAACACCGGUGGCGAAGGCGGAUCUCUGGGCCUUGCCUGACGCUGAGGCGCGAAAGCUAGGGGAGCGAACAGG